ACCUGACUGGCUGAAUCGGAAGAGCACGUGACUCUCAAUCUCACAGUCGUGGGUUCAAGCCCCACGUUGGGCG
rnacentral:tRNA from 1 species